UACGUAGGUGGCAAGCGUUGUCCGGAAUCAUUGGGCGUAAAGCGCGUGUAGGCGGUCCGGUAAGUCCGCUGUGAAAGUCGGGGGCUCAACCCUCGGAUGCCGGUGGAUACUGUCGGGCUUGAGUACGGAAGAGGCGAGUGGAAUUCCUGGUGUAGCGGGUGAAAUGCGCAGAUAUCAAGGAGGAACACCAAUUGCGAAGGC
rnacentral:rRNA from 1 species